AGAGGCAAAUGUAUGAAAGCUUAAAAAGAAAAAGAAUCUGCUAAGGAGUGAAAUCUUGUGAAGCCCCGUAUAAAAUAUGGUUUAAAUAGAAUGGAUUUAUAGUGUUUUUUGUUUUAAAAUUCUUGCAUUUGUCAAAUACUGCUUUGUAAAUAUUUAUUCAAGCUCAAAAGACUAUUAAAAACUUUAUCCUUUAAGCAGGUCAUUCAGUGGAUGCAAAGAUGCAAACAGAAGUGUAUGCUAAAUAUAUAGCUUAAAAUAAGUCUUGUUGUGAGUCUUUCCAAAGACAAGGAUGUGAAAUACUGUAGUUUAUGAAUCAGAGAAUAAUAUAUGAGAUACAUAUAAACAUCAUUUAUACUGUAUUCAAAAAUUAAUUCUGUGUGCAUAUGUACUGAAAAUCAAAGUAGUGUAUUAAUACAUAAAGAGGUGUACAUUUUCUUUAAACAAAACAUUAUGCCCUAAUGCAUUUUAAUAGCACUUUAAAAAGCAGAGCAGAUAUGUAUUUCUGAAAAGACAUUAUUUUGCAUUGGUUGCAAAUCACUUCGUGUUUAUCACAUGUUAAAGUACUGAAUGGUUUUGAAUGUUACUUUGGUAUUUUUUGCUGUGUACAGUAAGUGUUUGUAAUUGAUUUGACGAAUUUGAGAUAAAAAAGAAAAUUAAUUUUUUUUGCUUCCAAUAAUUUCAUUACGUUUCCAAUAUUCAAAUUGCAGAAGAUUAUUUUUGUAAUAGCCUUUGGUAUAGGAUUGUAUUAGUUUUUGAAAGUGUUUAGAUGAUAAAUCAGCCUAAUUUAUAAUGAUGUCUUACAUAAAGUCUAUACUCUUCUAUCAAUUUGUAUUAAAAUAUUGCUAAGAUUCUGAAUUUAUUUCCUACUUGUUUUAUUUCCAAUUUACUUUCCUUGUUCAAGAGUCAUGGAAAUUAUUUCAACAAAUGUUUAAGAAAUGUUGAUCUUGGGGGCAAAUCAAUCUUUUUCACAGUGUUUUCAGUUAGACUUGUCUACCCUUAGUACAGUACAGUAGUACUAUUGUAAAUUUGUAUGUACCAACAAAAAUAUGAAGCAGACCCAAUAAAUAGGUUAAAAUACUGUAUUGCUAGUAGCAUGCCAUUUUAGUUUUCAGUUUAAAUGUAAUGCAAAUACAGUAAAUGUAUAAUAAACACACUGUCUAAAUGCCAUGAAAUGAUGUAAUAUCAUAAAAACAAAGCUAUUUAGGCCAUUUCUAAAACAUAUCACAUGACAGUUCUUCCCCUUUAGCAUCUUUUGUGGUAUUUAGAUAGCAGAUGCUGUAAAACUUUAAAUUAUUUUGAAACCUGAUAAAUGGAAAGUAUAGUCUUUCAACGUGGUUUAAUGCAAAGCUGUUCUAGAAAAGUAGUUUGACAUUAUGGAUAUACUGUAAGUGCAGUGAAUUGUAUGGUAAAAUGGCAUCAUCUUUAUGAACCAAAGAUAAAUUCUGGGAUGUAUUUUGUAUGCAAUUAAAUUAAUGAAUAAAAUCAAUUUUAUUAUUUUCUGUGACCAUGCCUGACUUGCCAAUGUCAAAAAGGUGUCAGACGGUUGAUGUGUGUGUAUACAGUGGACUGUUAUUUAUGUCCUUUGGGAUUUUUAUCAAAGUGACCUUAAAGUUCUGCAGGCUACACAAUUAACAGUAGUUUCUAUUCACAAACCACUCAUAUUCCAUGUCAUAUUCCUGGCUGUAUCAUGUUGAGCCAGUGGCGUACACAGUAUAGAGCCCAGGAACAGACAGAAUUUAAGAGCAGUUUCACUAGAGCAGUUUCUCCUAGUUUCAUAUAAAUUAAACCUGUUGUCUAGAAAUGCUGUUAUCAAUGGUACUAACCUUUGCAAAUACUGCUGUUGGCAACAAGGCUGUUAGCAACCCAAGUUUAUUUCACUUCUUUGGCCACUGUUUUGUCUUCAUAAAAAAGCUGCUUUUAUGUAUUGUAUCUCAGAAAGCUUUUGAGUUGAACCUUUAUUGCCACUGUACUCUGUAGCGUGGCUACUGCUAAUAUGGUUGUCUGUGGUAUAUGUGCAUCCUUUAUUUAUUUAUUUUAUUUUUAUUUUCUCGUACUUCUCAGAAGCAAUAGAAUUGCUAUUCAUUCGAACUAGUUCAUGUGUGGGUAUUGUGGAAGAUUCUUGAUCAGGUUACCAAACGAUGCAGUAUUUCAACCCAUUAAGAACACUGAACUCUGAAAAACAACACAUGACAUAAAAGAGUAUUGAUUUGUACUGUGUGCAUAUGCAUGUCAGCCAGGUAGGUGCUGAUAUUGCUUCUUUCCAGUCAGGAAUCUCAUUUUUACUCAAGGUAGUAACUUGCACACCAUCAUCUGGACACUGAGUUUAUAGCAAGUGAUGUUCUAUUAUGGCUGUCUAUUAAAAAUAACAACUUCAGAUGCUGCCUGCAUGGCUUAAUUUCACAACACUUGAGGAAAGUGUUAUGAAAUACAUUGUUAUUUACUAAAUAGUGUUAUAAAUGAAUGUUGUCCUACCAGAUGUUACGGUUGCUUAUUUAAAUUGAUAUUGCUUUACUGAUUUUAGUAAUGCUCCAUUUAAUGUGUCUAGAUUGUGAUGUUUGCCAUGUUAAAAAAAGUUAUGUCUUAUGUCAAAUACCCACUGUGCAUUACAUGUUAACAUCUGUAGAUAUUUGUACCACAUCUUCCUUCUUAGUGACUCUUUUCCUAACUUUAGUCCUCUGCACAUCUCAUCUUUUCACCCUGAUUCUGUAGAUGAGUUUCUGUCUCACUUAAAUACAUAGACACCUCUUUUUUAAAAAAAAAACAUUUCCUGAGCAGUUAAAGCAUUUUUAUUCAUAAUGUCCUGCAUACAUGGCAGCAUUUAUAAUACAUGAAUUUAUUAUAUAAAUGUAGAUAAAGGGCAGAAGAUGUUUAUUUUAUUCUUAAAUUUGGUGAGCUAGAAGCUUUUAAUUGCAAAACGGCAUGAGGUUUUGUGUUCCAGCUGUGUCUACACCCUGCAGUUAUUGCAUGCUAACCCUGUAGAAGAUAAGACUACAUUUGCAUGCAACUUGUGAACUAUGCACCUACCCUGACUGAACUCCUCCCCUUCCAUACCUUUGACAUCGCCACCUUUCCCUGAGAUUCGACUGAGAAAGCUGGUCGACGAACGGGAGAGUUUAGUAGAGCAGGUGAGGAAGCUUAAGGCGCAGAUUGAGGACAAGCAGAAGAAUGGGACAGGGGAAAGUGCAGGAACUGAGAACACCAUUCUGGAAAAUGGCACAGAUGUGCACGUCCUAGAUUUACAGAGAGAUGCUAACAGGCAAAUUAGUGACCUGAAAUUCAAGCUAGUAAAAUCUGAACAGGAAGUAACGGCUUUGGAGCAAAAUGUAAGUAC